CCCCUAGAUGUUCUGGGCCGCACGCGCGCUACACUGAACAGUUCAACAAGUCUUAACCUUGGCCGAUAGGUCUGGGUAAUCUUUGAACGCUGUUCGUGAUUGGGAUAGACCUUUGCAAUUAUGGGUCUUCAACGAGGAAUUCCUAGUAAACGCAAGUCGUCAGCUUGCAUUGAUUACGUCCCUGCCCUUUGUACACACCGCCCGUCGCACCUACCGAUUGAAUGGUCCGGUGAAAUCUCGGGACGGCGGCUUGGUCGCUUGCGUCCGACUGCUGAAACUUGAUUAAACCAUAUCAUUUAGAGGAAGGUGAANUCGUANCA
rnacentral:rRNA from 1 species